CCCUCCCUCUCCCCUCUUCACAUUGCUCUCUUCCACAUUUCUUCUUCACUCACUCACACACACAUGGCCGUGAGAGAGAGCUGCCAUGGGAGAGAUUGAUGCCGAGAGUGAGACGUUGCAGAUUUUUGAGAGGGAGAUUUAGAGCAUGACACAGAGAAGAGAAAGAAGAAGUCCGGUUAUGGGUCGUUUGUGAGGAUUGUGUCCAAAUUAGAGACUUUAAUUGGUUCUCCAAUGUAGAGUUUGAGUAACUAGAAUUCAAGGGAAUAUUCGAGUCAAGAGUCCAAUGUAGCCAAGAUGAUGUUCAUUUGGCUGUAGGUACUCCAGUCGUAGUUGAUGGUGUUGUAGAUGUGCACUUGGGAUAUUAUGACUGAAACUCGCCGCGACGGUCGUAGUUGCAGAACCAUAGGCAUCCUCUAUUUUAUGGGUUUUGUUUAUGGUUUGUGACACCUGUGUCACUUGUUAUUAUAUAAGGUCAUUUAUGUUAUGUAUUUAAUUUGAAGAAAGACUUAAAUAGAUAUAUGUAAUAUUGGCUCUUGAUUAUGAUUAAUUUAUGAUAGAUGUUUAAGAUGU